AACGAACGCUGGCGGCAUGCCUAACACAUGCAAGUCGAACGAGACCUUCGGGUCUAGUGGCGCACGGGUGCGUAACGCGUGGGAACCUGCCCUUAGGUUCGGAAUAACUCCCCGAAAGGGGUGCUAAUACCGGAUAAUGUCUUCGGACCAAAGAUUUAUCGCCUUUGGAUGGGCCCGCGUUGGAUUAGCUAGUUGGUAGGGUAAAAGCCUACCAAGGCGACGAUCCAUAGCUGGUCUGAGAGGAUGAUCAGCCACACUGGAACUGAGACACGGCCCAGACUCCUACGGGAGGCAGCAGUGGGGAAUAGUGGACAAUGGGCGAAAGCCUGAUCCAGCAAUGCCGCGUGAGUGAUGAAGGCCUGAGGGUUGUAAAGCUCUUUUACCCGGGAUGAUAAUGACAGUACCGGGAGAAUAAGCGCCGGCUAACUCCGUG
rnacentral:rRNA from 1 species